UUCUACGGGAGGCAGCAGUGAGGAAUAUUGGUCAAUGGGCGGGAGCCUGAACCAGCCAAGUCGCGUGAGGGAAGACGGUCCUAUGGAUUGUAAACCUCUUUUGUCGGGGAGCAAAGAGGCCACGUGUGGUCAAAAGCGAGGGUACCCGAAGAAAAAGCAUCGGCUAACUCCGUGCCAGCAGCCGCGGUAAUACGGAGGAUGCGAGCGUUAUCCGGAUUUAUUGGGUUUAAAGGGUGCGUAGGCGGGACGGUAAGUCAGCGGUAAAAAUGCGGAGCUCACCUCCGUCUAGCCGUUGAAACUGCCGU
rnacentral:rRNA from 1 species